GGGGGAGGGGCUGACGGCAGCAAGCCCGUGGGGCUCAAACUGCCACAUCAUGACCUGAGCUACCCAGGUGCCCCCGCGUUCCUGUUUGAGCCGUCCUGUAGUUUUGUUACAGGACGGACUGAUGUCCGGGUCGUCUCUGAGCCUCCCUGUGUGUUCUGGGAGCUUGGGACACAUCUCACGUGGCCACGUGAUUUGGACCUCACCUUUUCUCUGACGUCACAGGGGACACAGAGGUGCGGUACCAGCACUGUCCCAGGAGUGGUUCGGAGUCAUCACUCGGUGACCUGGGACUAGAUCACCUCAUCCUCAUGCCUUGUAGGGAGCCCCUGACCAGCCCCCAGCAAGGUUGUGCUCCCCAGUUCAGCUGGAGCAGAGGGACCGUCACACACCAAGUGUCCUGUACACACGCUGUUUUCGUGUCCGCCCCUCGAUGGCUCCCUCCCCACAACCUGCCCGAAGGAGGUGAAAAGAAAGACCAGACAAGGUUGGUUAUGUUUUGCCUUAAAACUUGAGUAUGCUGGAUUGUGGCGUGAGGUAUUUUUAUUCCCUUUUGUUAGUACUGAAAACCAUCUGGUACAUAUUCGUAAGGCAAAUGAUGAACACGUCUCGGGCUCCUGGUCCAUCUGCACGUUGCCGUUUCCACGCCCACCAGUCCCAGCCUCCCCACGGCGGGCCGCCCCGUGUUUCCUGGGGAAGGGGCUCUCCCAGCUGUGCUGCGGGCACUGGGAGAUGCUGGACUGGUCGCCCCCCUCUGGGCCGUGUCAGAAAGGGUUUAAGAAUACUCGGGAAUAGCAGCCCCCGCCCCCCGCAGAGGACACCUUGCCGAGUGGGCACCAGCAAUUACGCCAGGAGCCGGGUUCCCGGGGAGGGUGCGCGGGGGCGCACUGCUGCCCCCCAUGCCUGGGGGCGGGGAGGAGUAUAGAAAGGAGGGGAGAAGGUUUGUUUGAAGACAGGCACGAUAGACACUACUACUGAAUGUGCAAUUCCAAGCCACAGUUGCAGGACACGGGAAUGACGGGGGCCGCACCCACCCUCGGGACGUCACAGCUCACAAAUGGCCCCGGUUACAGACAUACAGGUUCUCAUGCUUGUGCACCGCGCACACCGCCGCGAGUGCGGGCGCGGCGCUGGGCUCCGCCUCUCGGGACAGAACGCGACCCCUUCAGCGAUUUGGUCCACUUCCUUGGAGCAGAAGACCCCAGGGUGUGGAACAUACUUCGUGUGCUGCAAACUGCGUAUCGAUCAAAGAAGUAAAUCCUACUAACUCGCUACUAUUAUAAAAGUAGAAAGGUUGAAAAAAACGAAAUCGGAAAAUGAUCUCAUUUGCUUAAGACGGUGCCAGGGUAUCACAAACAUUGGAAAAAUCCGCUUUAAAAUGCACCAGCCUCUAAAUCGAAAGAAGGGUCUUUUUUAAGACAAAGAAGAGCACUUGCCCGGUCGCGUUUGGUUGAACGGAUGCGGCUGUACUGCUCUGAAGGUGCAGUUUGUGAAGAACAACUGUCAUUUGGCACUACGUUAAUGACCACGCUUUAAUACUGGCUCGGGCUGGAAAGCGCCCCCGCGGGAGGACGACAGAAGCUCCGGCGUCCGCGGGGGGAGCGCGUUCCGCUCCGACGACACACGAGCGAGCGGCUCGGAAAGACAAGGUUAGAACGGUGUGGCGGAGGGACAGGGAUCUGGGUCCCGGCCGCGUGUUAAUUUUACGAGGCGUCGUUAAUACAGAGGAAAAGGAAGGGUCUCCCAGGAAAGCCGCCGCUGCUCAACCAUCCGCGUCAGUACACGUGGGAUUCUUUGUGACUCAGAACGUGGGCGCGGGAGGCCGAGCUGGUCGCGCUGCGGAUCACCUCCAUCCACCUAAGACCAGAAAACGAAAGGACAGUCCAGGGUCACUUUGGUAAAAGUGUCCCGGUACCCAGCCUGCGUCAUUACAUAGGUGACACGCUGGUGCCUGGUCCGUAAUGUGCUGCGUGAGCAGAGUUCCUCCUGGUCCCCAAGUAACUGAGCGCAAGGCUAAGGGUUCCUCUAGGUGUUCCUGGGGAACAGUCUGAGAACCACUGGCUGGGGCGCUCAUUUUGUAGAGAACGAAAGUGCCCAGGAUGGACGCACCCUGCCCAGGUGAUAUGGUGGGUUCCUGUUCCGCCUCCUGGUCUGUCCACAGACCCCUGGCUGUGUGGGUAUUUGUGGCUCUCCCCGACCCUGGGGGACGGUGUCCAGAGGCGUUUUGGGGGGGGGGGGUCACAGCAGAGAGUGGCCAAGUAGACUCGAGUGGGAAGGGGCCUGGGAUGCCCCUGAGCAGCAUCUAAGGCACAGGACCCCCCCCCGUCCCCCGAGAACUGAAUGGGCCCCAAGGUCGGCAGUGCUGAGGGUGGGGGGAGGCCCAGGUUCCUGCCUCCUCGAGCCACCGGUCUGUUGAGGAUCAGUCUCAGUUCUCUGGUCCAGGCUCAGAUUUGAGAAGAGUUCUCCCCGGGGCUCACUUUUCAAGCCGUGUACCUUAUUAGGAGGCCUUGACUUUGGUUUUCAACCACUGAACUGAUGUUCCUGGCCACGGGCACGAAGGACCAUGCUGUGUCCCAUCGGCCUGGCUAGACCCCCUCCGGUCGAUGGCCUGAGGACCCCACCCCUGCCCACGCUGCAGGAUGCCAUUCCUGGGAGCCCAGAACUACGACCUGAAGUUCUGGGAACAGUCUGAAAAUCGGUCAGAUGUGAGAGCCUGGCUCUUCCCAUUCUUCUUUAAAGAUUAGGGCUCCUGGGCCGCCUCCCACCGCGCACCCGUCUGAGAUGGUGACCCCGAGAAGCGUUAGGAGGUUUUCUUCCCUCAUGUGGUCUUCCGGCCCUGGCACGCUCCCACCCGCCGUAAGUAAUACUCCAGAGACGGAAACAACAUGUGUGUUAGGGAUUUAAACGUGCACCAUGUGUGGCCGGGACCCGGUCCAGGCUCAGGGCUGAUGUUAGGAGACUGCCUACUUCGCCCUCAACAAAGGUCAAGGGCAUUUUGGAAGUGAGUAAACCGCCCAGACCCGCGGCGGCCAAUGGAGCUGCUACUGUACCUGGCUCGUGGGGGAGGCCGCCCCGGCGGAGGGGCCUUACCUUUCGAAUGUGUAUUCGCUUUCGGCCCUGAAGUAGUACACGUGAGACUUGAAAUGCAGCUUGAACACGUAGUCCUUGUGGAUGUCCUCGGCCUCCGAGGGGAUGGUGAGCGAAUAGCCGAGCAGGGGCAGGCUGGCCAGGGGGUGGUGGUCCUGGGGAGAGUGGACAGAUGGCAGCUUUGGAGAUGCGGCUGCAGGGAGCGGGCCCAGCCCGCCACGCAGGAGCCUUCGACAAGGUCACCCCGCCCCCCGACCAGCUUUCUGCCGACGGGCCCCACUGGACCUCGAGGGGCUCAAGGACGCGGCCUGCACCUGCUCAUGCCCGGGCAGGUGGCUCGGGUGUCGGUCCCCUCAGCCCAGACCCCGGCCGCCCCAUCCUGUGGGGCGAGUACCUGGUGGGACUUGUAGAAGAACAGGCAGAAGUUGGUGAACACCACCCACAGCUUCUGCCACCCGUUGCUGUUUUUGAACUUCCUCAGCAGGUUCCCAGACAGCUGAUUCUGAAAGACAGGGGCGUGGGUGACUGGCACGGGUGCCCGGCCUGGCUCCUGCACGUGACUGAGGGCUCCUGCUGGCCCUGUGGGUAGUCUCUUGAGCCUGAUUUAGUUCUUGGUCCCCGUUACUGCUUGAUUUGCACUGCUCUCCGCUCUGUGUCAGGGGCACUUCGGGCUCCAUGCACUGGUCCCUCUAAACUCUAGACAGAAAGGAACCGUUCUCCAGGGUGACAUGCUGGCAGGCCCUGCGCGCCAUCUAGUGGCCUUGGCAGGAACGCCAGCCUGCAGCAGAAUGUGUCCCCGGCCUCCAGCUGCCUGGGACUCCGGGAGCUGAAGGAAGAGGGACCAGGACAGAGGGGCUGGUAGUGCAGUUCCCCCGGGACCCCCCCUGCCCCCCCACCACGGCUGCAGCAGGACACUGAGCACAGGCGUCCGACUCCAGAGCCCCAUGGCCGGUGCCAAGACCCAGAAGGUCCGUCGCUCAUUACCAAGGAGACGAAAAGAAGCAUGAAACGAUGGUGGGGACAGUCCCAUAGCUUUGUGUCAAGUGGGCAGAUUACUACAUUAAAAAAUCUCUACAAAUAUA